rnacentral:tRNA from 1 species
GGACCCAUAGCCUAGUGGAUAGGGCAACUGCCUCCUAAGCAGUAGGUCGUGGGUUCGAUUCCCACUGGGUCCG